AACGAACGCUGGCGGCAGGCCUAACACAUGCAAGUCGAACGCUCCGCAAGGAGAGUGGCAGACGGGUGAGUAACACGUGGGAAUCUUCCUAUUGGUUCGGAAUAGCUCAGGGAAACUUGGGGUAAUACCGUAUAAGCCCGAGAGGGGAAAGAUUUAUCGCCGAUAGAUGAGCCCGCGUCUGAUUAGCUAGUUGGUGAGGUAAUGGCUCACCAAGGCGACGAUCAGUAGCUGGUCUGAGAGGAUGACCAGCCACACUGGGACUGAGACACGGCCCAGACUCCUACGGGAGGCAGCAGUGGGGAAUAUUGGACAAUGGGCGCAAGCCUGAUCCAGCCAUGCCGCGUGAGUGACGAAGGUCUUCGGAUUGUAAAGCUCUUUUGCCAGGGACGAUAAUGACGGUACCUGGAGAAUAAGCCCCGGCUAACUUCGUG
rnacentral:rRNA from 1 species